CACAGGCAGGAGGACCAGGCACGGUUGCUAGUGGACUCCAUCCUGAAGGGCUUCCACGCUACACUGUUACCAUACACCUACACCUUGGCCUUCCUCCCAAUCGUCAUACCUGGGCCCGAGGGCCAGAAUCUGAAGGCGCUGUCUGUCUGUCUCUUUGUCUGUCUGUCUCCCUACCUGCCUGUCUGGUACUCUUGUCACUAUCCUGUCUGUCAGUCAGUUUCUUACCCAGUGUUUCUUCCUCCAACUCCAGGUGCUGCACCUCACCCUGUGCCCCCUUCCAGCCCUCACGCAGCAGGACCUGUACCAGACCGACCAGGGAGAGGUGUUCCUCAGGAGGGAUGGCAGUGUGGAGGGACCUCUGUCUGCUAGCGCCAUCCAGGAGUGGGCCAGGCAGUGGUGGAGUUGGGAGUCGAGCCCCACCGGGCCUGCCUGCCUGGGGCCUGCCUGCCUGGGGCCUGCCUGCCUGGGGCCUGCCUGCCUGGGGCCUGCCUACCUGGGGCCUGCCUGCCUGGGGCCUGCCUG
rnacentral:lncRNA from 1 species